rnacentral:rRNA from 1 species
ACGUAGGGGGCAAGCGUUAUCCGGAAUUAUUGGGCGUAAAGAGUGCGUAGGUGGUUUUCUAAGCGUGAGGUUUAAGGCAGCGGCUUAACUGCUGUUCGCCUUGCGAACUGGAAGACUUGAGUGCAGGAGGGGAAAGCGGAAUUCCUAGUGUAGCGGUGAAAUGCGUAGAUAUUAGGAGGAACACCAGCGGCGAAGGCGGCUUUCUGGACUGCAACUGACACUGAGGCACGAAAGCGUGGGGAGCAAACAG